AGAACAUACGGCCGUACUCCCCCCUUUUCCCCUCCCCGACGUUCAUGCACGCAUAUAUGAUAUGUAUAUGCCUGUAUAUAUAUUUACCGUUCCUCACAAACAAGUAGUCGUUCGGGGAUAGAGAGAGAGUUGUGGUUUAUUGUGGUUCACACUUCAACGGAGAGAGUGGUGGUUUUCACGGGAUCAAGACGCAUUCGAUGAUCUAAAUUGUAAGCAUUGCAAUAAAUCUGUUACUAGUCUGAUUUGUAUUCUUCGCCGAAGGGAUUUUCAUUGAUUUGGCUAAGAGAUUCACAAUUGAACCUGAUUCCAAACGUGGCCUCGACUGUUGAUUGAUUGAGAAGACGAAAGGUCCUAACCUCCCUCACUCUUUUAGCUUGAAAGACGUCAACUGUAAUGGCUGUGAAGGAGACCUUAAGGUCGACCCCUUGGCACUUUUUCCGGUACAUUACUCUUGGUGAAUGGGAUUUAUUGGUGCUCAGGGUGAUCAUCGAAGGUUUUGGCUGACUGUGUCUAUUUCCCAUGUCGGUGUGUGAUAGGAUAGCAGUACCCAGGUUCUGACAAUGUGGCAGUGAAGUUUGUAAAGAUUGAUGAUAAAAGCUUGGAGUGUUUAUAUGAAGGGUUGUUGUGGCUGCAUUUCUAAUGUAAUGAGGCUAUGAUGAUGGUUGAAUUGAAUGCUGGAAAUGUAAAAUUAGCAGCUAUUGUGAAGAGGGGCUCAAUCUCUACGGUAGGAUAACCCGGAUGGCCAUUUUCAUUGUGAAAUGUUUCACAAAGGCAAUUGGGAUUUUUUGUUAGUGUGAUUGUGCUCAUUUCCUCUGCUUGACCACUGACCAUUUUGGACCCCUAUAUGCCUUCUACACUUUAGCUUUGUAGUAAGUUUAUUAUACUUUAAUUUAUUUAUAAUUUCUCUUAA